UGAUUUCAAAGAGUUUUAGACUCCUCUACUCUGCUUAAUUCACGGUAUAUCAGUGUGUGUGUUUGACCUAACUGCUUUUAAGUGGUCAGCAAUAGCACCUGCAAAAUGCUAAGCUCUUUCUCUCAAUUUUGGUAGAGUAUUGGGCCACUCCUCACAUACAAGAUGGUAUAGCCUGGUGUCCUGACCCUCUCCCUCUGUUCUUUAGCCUUCUGUCUAGCAAUGAUAAUUCAGAAUCUAUUUUCACUAGCAUAGGGAUUGAAAGCUUUGUGAUUUUGUUAUUUCUGGGUUACAUGCCCAAGUAGGCUUUUGCUCAUGAGAGAGUAGAACCUACGAGGUUUUCAAGACUGGAGCAAGCUUUCACAACUUGGAGCCAAAGUUCUAUGACACUGGAAAGAGCAAUGGAAAAAAACAGGGUAUACAGAUUAAAAGGUCAGAACACAUACUAUUUGAUCUUUUGGUCUUCUUAGAAGCUUCAAAGAACUCAAGAGCUGUAAAUAGAAGAUUGAGGAACCUGAUAAGAGGGACUCAUGAUGAAAAAUGCUAUCCCUAGCCAGUGAAGGAACUGUUGGAGCCUUAUUGCAGAUCAAAGCAUGGUAAAUUACACUUCAUUUCCUUCUUGAAGUUUCUUUUUUUUUAAUAUGUGUGAUAAGUGUAUUCUGCCAUUUAAUGAGUAAUGUGGAAAUAAAUAUGUCUUGAAUGAAAGUACUUGUAUAACC
rnacentral:lncRNA from 1 species